UACGUAGGGGGCGAGCGUUGUCCGGAAUUAUUGGGCGUAAAGAGCGUGUAGGCGGUUCGGUAAGUCUGCCGUGAAAACCUGGGGCUCAACCCCAGGCGUGCGGUGGAUACUGCCGGGCUAGAGGGUGGUAGAGGCGAGUGGAAUUCCCGGUGUAGCGGUGAAAUGCGUAGAUAUAGGGGAGAACACUCGUGGCGAAGGCGGCCAGCUAGACCAGUUCUGACACUGAGGCGCGACAGCGUGGGGAGCAAACAGG
rnacentral:rRNA from 1 species